AUGAUUAUUCAAGCUGUUUAGCUUAUCAGGGCAUUAAGAUUAUCCCUUGUGCUCGUUUAAAAAAAAAUAUAUAUACGUUGUAAAGAAAAAACUCUUCCAUUUUCUCGUUUCUUAUUAUUUUUCCAUAGUAAAACAAGAAUUUUUAAAAAAUUAAAAAAAAAUAUUGAAACAAAAUGGCUUCGCCCAGGUUCGAACUGGGGACCUUCAGUGUGUUAGACUGACGUGAUAACCAACUACACCACAAAACCUCUUCUGAACAAAGUAUUCAAAAUAUAUUAAUUAUUAAAAUCAGCAGUAACACCUAAAAAAGAAAAUAAGCGGGAAAUGCGAAAAUAAAAUAAUACAAGUACUGUAAUAAAACCCUCCAAAAUCAGGAAAACCUUCACAAAAUCCUUCUCUCUUUCUUUCUCUCUCCUGAAAGUUACAGUAAGAAAGGAGGUUGAAAGAGGUGCAACAAUGGCGAAUCAAGAGGAGAGAGAAGAAAACCAGCAAAAUUGGAGAAAAGAAGUCGAUAACAACAUCAACCGUCUUCAAUCUCUACUCUUCGGCGCCGAUUUCGCUUUAGAGAAUCGCGAUUAUUCUUCCGCACAACUUCUCAGCCUUCGUCUCCUCGGUUUUCUCGAUUCUCGCUCUCAAAACGACGUCGAUUCCUCGUUUAUUCAUCCUAUUCGCCGCGAUGCUUUGUCUAAGCUCGACGCUUCUCGCCGUCAACUCACUCCCGUUUACGACCGCCAAGCAUUUGAAGCAGCAGGCAUACCUCCUGGAAAAAUUUUCUCCAUGAAUGCAGACGUUGAUGUCAAGAUCAAGCAGUCAAAAUAUUUUCGUGCCCUUAUUCAGCAGUCUUCCAAAGUAAAUACGAGUGGAUUGGGAGGCCAAGGAGACCAAUUUGAGAGACUGACUAGGAAGACCUCCAAAACUACUCUUGAGGCUGACUUGUCAUCUUGGCAUGGGAACAACAUGAUGGGUAGAAGUAAUGUUGGUGUAAAAGGUCCUGUUACAUCCAAAAAUAAUGGAUCUGAUGACUGCAUUAUUUUGGGCAAGGCAUGUGCAUCAAAUAAUCAAGUCAAAGGGAAUUCUUCGUUUGCACACGCUGAAGAAGAAGAAAGAAUGCUUGGAAACAAUUUGGGAGUAAAGCGUCCUCACAUGGAAUCAAGGUAUCCUAGAAAUGACAUCGGAUCAGCUUUGAGCAACAACGAAACUAACAGAGAAGUCUCUGGAAAUGCGUUUGUGACUGCUAGAACCAAAUUGGAAAUGGAAGUAAAGCAAAAGAAAGGGUUGGGUGGUUCACCAAGCUGUUCUGUCUCUCCCAUUAGUGAUUACAAUUCCAACAGCCGGAGUUAUAGUGGAAAAUCAUAUGGUGUAUCACGUCGUGGGGUCCGUGGUAAUUUUAUUCCCCCAAUCAGAUCCAAGGGCAACAAUAGCGGGAAUAUGACUGCACGAAUUGGUGGCAAAUGUGAUGAUGCCGUGGAGGAUUCAACCAGAAAAUGUUUGGAAAUGUUAUGUGGUCCUGAUGGGGAGCUGCCGGAGAAGCUGAGAAAUUUGGAGCCUCGUCUAAUUGAACAUGUUAGCAAUGAGAUUAUGGACCGAGAUCCCAAUGUGCGCUGGGAUGACAUUGCUGGUUUAGAGCAUGCCAAGAAAUGUGUGACAGAGAUGGUGGUUUGGCCUCUAUUGCGCCCAGACAUUUUCAAAGGAUGCCGUGCUCCAGGAAGAGGUCUUCUGCUCUUUGGUCCACCUGGAACUGGUAAAACAAUGAUUGGAAAGGCUAUAGCUGGAGAGGCUAAAGCGACAUUUUUUUACAUAUCUGCCAGUUCACUGACUAGUAAGUGGAUCGGGGAGGGUGAAAAGCUAGUGAGGGCUCUUUUUGGAGUUGCCAGUUGCCGUCAACCAGCAGUUAUAUUUGUUGAUGAAAUUGAUUCCCUUCUGUCGCAGCGCAAAUCAGAAGGUGAGCAUGAAGCAAGUAGGAGACUCAAGACUCAGUUUCUUAUCGAGAUGGAAGGCUUUGACAGCAUAAGUGAACAGAUUCUGCUUAUAGGAGCUACAAAUAGGCCCCAAGAGCUUGAUGAAGCAGCAAGGAGGCGGCUUACAAAACGACUGUACAUACCACUCCCUUCUGCAGAAGCAAGAGCCUGGAUAGUACGCAAUCUCCUGGAAAAAGAUGGGCUGUUUAGACUCUCAAAAGAGGAUAUGGACAUGAUCUGCAAAUUGACUGAAGGUUACUCUGGAUCGGAUAUGAAAAAUCUUGUGAAGGAUGCUUCCAUGGGUCCACUUAGAGAUGCUUUGAGGCAGGGCAUAGAAAUUACAAAGCUGGACAAAGAGGACAUGAGGCCAGUAACUCUGCAGGAUUUUAAAGAUGCUUUGCAGGAGGUGAGGCCGUCAGUUUCACCUAAUGAACUUGGUAUAUAUGAAAACUGGAACAAACAGUUCGGAAGCUUGGCAGUCUAGUAGUAAUCAAGAUUCAAGGCCAAAAGAUUGUGAGCCUGCAGUAACUGUUCCUGUUGCUCCUUUAGUUCUCGGUGUUGCCCCUGUGCAAAUCCAACCAUCUGCAGUAAAGUAGCCCUGUAAGAAGAUCACACGUCUUAAGUUUCAGCAAAGAAAAAAAAAAUCAGUAUUCAUUUUUGAAAGAGCAUAUUAUCAGAAAAGUAUAAACCCUACAAGAUGUAUGUAUUGGUAAAUCUAUGCUUAUACACAAUGAAAUAGUACAUGCUUCGCAUAUGUUAGGCCACAUACUUGAGACAAGGCAUUACACGUAGGAAAAGGAUCCCUCCCGGAAUCUCUUCGGAAACAAUCGCUAAGAAGCCAGGAAAGCCUACUUCUUUUUUCCUCUGCAGCAAAAAUCUCUGAGCACGAAAACAAACAAGGAUCAUCCAAGGCUUCCAAAGAAAACUCAGCAACCAUAAGCCAAGCAUUUAAAGCAGCAGGAAUGCCUCCUGGAAAAAAAAAUUCUCCAUGGAUGCAGACGUUGAUGUCAAGAUCAAGUAGUCAAAAUAUUUUUGUGCCCUUAUUAGUAAAUACGAGUGGAUUGGUAUGUGUGAUCUAAGGCCUUGAAAAUUUCAGCUUCUAUUGACUCACAUGUUUACGUUACACUGGUGCAUUUCAAUUUUCAUAUCCGUCCCAUCUCCUGAUUAUUAAUUUGAAUGUCUGUGUCCCAAUUAUUAAUGCUAAUUAUACCUAACUGUCACAACUCAAGCACCACACCCAUAAAGACAUCAGCAACGUUACUUGGGAGUUGCCCAUAGGUGCUUGGAAGCACCUCUCCCCUAUAGAGCUUUAUUUAGCUAUGGGGUUGUUUUCCUAGUGAACACCCAAAUGAUAGUAACGCAAUAAUGGGCCAUUUGGGGGCCCAAAUGAAGGCCAAACUGGCUGAAACUUGGGGGGGCCCACCGUUUGUGGGUCAAUGAAGAUGAUGGUCGAGAUGGAUUUUGGAGAUGGGACCCAUAACGUUCCAAAUUGCACUACAAGGUUUGUGAGUCUUUUGGAUGCUUCUAGAAUCUUAUAGGGCAAUCUUGUAUAUUCUUUGUAAACUAGAGUAGCCUAGAUCAUUCCGAAAUAUUGCACAUAGAGAGGAGUAGAGUAGAAUGGUGUAGAACUCUCUAAAGUAACCUUGUUCUAGGACCCUCCAUUUGAGGAGGUUAGAACUUUCUAGGCUAGAAGUCUCUAGGCCUUGGGAAGCACUAUAAAUAGGAGCUUCCCCCUCAUUUGUACACCCAUCCACAAAUUUGCAAAGUUCUCUCAAGCAAUACAAAAGCAUUCUUAAAGCAAUCUUCCUUGUUCACUCUUGCUUGCUUACUUAGCCAUUUUCUAACUUUACUCACUUAACUUUGAGCGUCGUACUUAGCCUAGCUAAAAUACAGACCAAUUUGAGAGAAUGAUUAGGAAGACCUCCGAAACCACUCUUGAGCACGCAUAUGAUAAUAAAGAAAAAGAAGAUGUACCAUAUAUUUUAUUUUAUUUUUGGAACUUGUAGACAUACCAUAUAUUAU